UACGAAGGGGGCUAGCGUUGCUCGGAAUUACUGGGCGUAAAGGGCGCGUAGGCGGCACUGUUAGUCAGGCGUGAAAGUCCUGGGCUCAACCUGGGAACUGCGCUUGAUACGGCAGAGCUAGAGGACUGGAGAGGAGACUGGAAUUCAUGGUGUAGCAGUGAAAUGCGUAGAGAUCAUGAGGAAGACCAGUGGCGAAGGCGGGUCUCUGGACAGUUCCUGACACUGAGGCACGAAGGCCAGGGGAGCAAACGGG
rnacentral:rRNA from 1 species